rnacentral:rRNA from 1 species
CGACGACGUGCGAACGUUAUUCGGAAUCACUGGGCUUAAAGCGCGUGUAGGCGGAUGGGAACGUCGGUCGUUGAAAUCCCCCGGCUUAACCGGGGAAGGGGCGCCGAUACGACCCGUCUGGAGGAACGUAGGGGGAGCUGGAACUUCCGGUGGAGCGGUGAAAUGCGUAGAUAUCAGGAGGAACACCUGUGGCGAAAGCGGCUCACUGGACCAUAACUGACGCUGAUGCACGAAAGCUAGGGGGAGCAAACAGG